CCUACGGGUGGCAGCAGUGAGGAAUAUUGGUCAAUGGACGAGAGUCUGAACCAGCCAAGUAGCGUGAAGGAUGACUGCCCUAUGGGUUGUAAACUUCUUUUAUAUGGGAAUAAAAUGUUCCACGUGUGGGAUUUUGUAUGUACCAUAUGAAUAAGGAUCGACUAACUCCGUGCCAGCAGCCGCGGUAAUACGGAGGAUCCGAGCGUUAUCCGGAUUUAUUGGGUUUAAAGGGAGCGUAGGUGGAUUGUUAAGUCAGUUGUGAAAGUUUGCGGCGCAACCGUAAAAUUGCAGUUGAAACUGGCAGUCUUGAGUACAGGAGAGGUGGGCGGAAUGCGUGGUGUAGCGGUGAAAUGCUUAGAGAUCACGAAGAACUCCGAUUGCGAAGGCAGUUCACUGGACUGCAACUGACACUGAGGCUCGAAAGUGUGGGUAUCAAACAGGAUUAGAUACCCCUGUAGUC
rnacentral:rRNA from 1 species